GGGGGCGAUCUGGCUUCGACGUGGGUAGCAAAACCUAAGGUGCAUGCCGAGCUUUCAGGAAUCUCGUAAAACAUCUGAAAAUAUAUAGUUGCAAACGACGACAACUACGCAAUCGCUGCUUAAGAACCAGUAAGAUUGCUGUCUGACUGGAGCCGUGCUUAUGCGUCCAGCGAUCUUCGGAUCAUCUCAGGCAUCAUAGCUCAUAAGAUCGUAGUGAAGCUCGUUCGGGGCAGAUCUACUAAAACUUAACCGAAAUCGUU
rnacentral:tmRNA from 1 species